UGUGGCCUUAUGGGCUGGUAGUGUAAGCUUCAACACUUGGUAUGUUCCAUCAUUCCCAGGACCUGUCAUGUGUCAUGAUCCUUGCUUAGAAACUAGAGACAGCAGCCAUUGCAGAGGAGAGGUUAAGUUUCUUCUCUGUCAAGUCGAAGAGCAAGCCGUGUAAGAGCUCAGUGAAGUCAGUGAGAGUGUUUCCUAUCAGAUUCAAUUUCCUGAGAGCCCAUCUGUUACAUCUCAGAGGAGAACAUAAGAGGUGGUUUGGAUAUGUUCAUCCUGGAAGAAACACUGUUCUUACUGAAUGAAAAAUGAGAAUUGAGUAGAACAAAUUCACACUUGGAUUACAUGAGUUUUAUCCACAAGGACAUUUCAUCCUGGUUUUCAGACAUGGUGAAGUAGAGGUCAAAGGCUUGCUCUCUAUCUGUCAGCUGACUUGUCAAAUACAUCUUCCUCUUCCUAAAAUAAUUUCUGAAGCUAUUGGC
rnacentral:lncRNA from 1 species